rnacentral:rRNA from 1 species
AGAAUCAACGCUGGCGGCGUGCCUAACACAUGCAAGUCGCACGAGAAAGGGGAGCAAUCCCUGAGUACAGUGGCGCACGGGUGAGUAACACGUGAAUAAUCUACCUCCGAGUGGGGAAUAACUGAGAGAAAUCUUAGCUAAUACCGCAUAACACUUACGAGUCAAAGCAGCAAUGCGCUUGGAGAGGAGUUCGCGGCCGAUUAGUUAGUUGGCGGGGUAAUGGCCCACCAAGACGAUGAUCGGUAUCCGGCCUGAGAGGGCGCACGGACACACUGGAACUGAAACACGGUCCAGACUCCUACGGAGGCAGCAGUGGGGAAUUUUGCGCAAUGGGGGAAACCCUGACGCAGCAACGCCGCGUGGAGGAUGAAAGCCCCUUGGGGUGUAAAACUCCUUUCGAUCGGGAAGAUAAUGACGGUACCGAUAUAAGAAGCCCGGCUAACUUCGUGCCAGCAGCCCGC